UAGUAAUGGAGACAGGGGUACAGGCCUCACGGCAGGUUUAUGAAGCAAAAAACUGGUUGAAGAUUGAAAAAAAAAGCUUGCAGAUUGAGAACUCAAGUUGAGGAUCCUCCCCUUAAUUGCAGUUGUGCUGCGGAUUGAGGGAUUGUGGUGAUUGUUGCAGAUUGCAGAAUGGGAUUCCCAGGUUGCAGAGUGGAGACACCCAAUUGCAGAAUGAAGAUUGCAGGUUGAAGAUUGAAGAAGAUUGAAGAUUGAAGAAGAUUGAAGAUUGAAGAUGAAAGAAGAUUGAAGGUUGAAGAAUAGAAUGAAGAGUUGAGAAUUGAAGAUCGAAGUUGGUUCCUUUUUUCAUUGAAGUUCUGCAGUAAGGUUUCUUUGCCCUGCUAGGACCACAUGCUGUUAGGACUGCUUGCAGAACGCAUUUGUUGUGAAAGAAGACAAAUAAAAAUGUUGGCUGCAAUGCUUAAUGGAAAAUUAUUUAGGUUGAGGUUUGGUCUGUUAUUGUCGAAGGUUUGGGUGGCUGUAGGUGGACUUGCUGUAGUUGUGUGUUGAUGUUGAUGCAUCAUCUGAUGUUUAAUUAUUGGCUGCAAAAUCGUGUUUUGGCAUGCUAGUGUUAGGAUGAUAGGUGAUGUAUAUUACUAUGAUACCAUGUCUUGAACUGUUGUGGUUUGUGGAUGCUAUGAAAAUAUUUUGAAUGUUUUAAUUAGUCUUGAGUGUUAAUGAAUCGAAAUUGUAAUUCAAUUGAAUUAAUUUUGGAUAUUUGAAUGUAAUUGAUGGUAUGGGUGUUAGCUCCAA